rnacentral:rRNA from 1 species
UUUGUCACUUCAAACCAAUCGGACUUCGGUCUGACAUCAAGUGAUAUUGAACAAUUUAGCUGAUCGCACAGUCUAAGAACCGGCGACAUAUCCUUCAAAUGUCUGCCUUAUCAACUUUCGAUGGUAGAUUAUGCGCCUACCAUGGUUGUAACGGGUAACGGAGAAUCAGGGUUUGAUUCCGGAGAGGGAGCCUGAGAAACGGCUACCACAUCCAAGGAAGGCAGCAGGCACGCAAAUUACCCACUCCCGGCACGGGGAGGUAGUGACGAAAAAUAACAAGCUGGUCUCAAUGAGUUCCAGCAUUGUAAUGGGAACAAUUUAAAUCUUUUAUCGAGGAUCUAUUGGAGGGCAAGUCUGGUGCCAGCAGCCGCGGUAAUUCCAGCUCCAAUAGCGUAUAUUAAAGUUGUUGCGGUUAAAAAGCUCGUAGUUGGAUCUAGGAUUAGGGCUACGGUCGUUCAGCUUGGACGUACUGUAUGCCCGACUCCUUUUCUCUAGUAUUCGAUUGUUGCUCUUAAAUGAGUGACUUUAGUUGCUGGAACUUUUACCUUGAAAAAAUUGAAGUGCUCAAAGCAGGUU